UACGUAGGGUCCGAGCGUUGUCCGGAAUUACUGGGCGUAAAGAGCUCGUAGGUGGUUUGUCGCGUUGUUCGUGAAAAACUCACAGCUUAACUGUGGGCGUGCGGGCGAUACGGGCAGACUUGAGUACUGCAGGGGAGACUGGAAUUCCUGGUGUAGCGGUGGAAUGCGCAGAUAUCAGGAGGAACACCGGUGGCGAAGGCGGGUCUCUGGGCAGUAACUGACGCUGAGGAGCGAAAGCGUGGGGAGCGAACAGG
rnacentral:rRNA from 1 species